CUGCGAACGGCUCAUUAUAUAAGUUAUCGUUUAUUUGAUAGCACCUUGCUACUUGGGUAACCGUGGUAAUUCUAGAGCUAAUACAUGCUGAAAAUCCCGACUCCGGAAGGGAUGUGUUUAUUAGAUCCAAAGCCAACGCCCCCCGGGCUCACUGGUGAUUCAUGAUAACCGCUCGAAUCGCACGGCCUUGCGCCGGCGAUGGUUCAUUCAAAUUUCUUCCCUAUCAACUUUCGAUGUUUGGGUAGUGGCCAAACAUGGUUGCAACGGGUAACGGAGGGUUAGGGCUCGACCCCGGAGAAGGAGCCUGAGAGACGGCUACUACAUCCAAGGAAGGCAGCAGGCGCGCAAAUUACCCAAUCCCGACGCGGGGAGGUAGUGACAAUAAAUACCGAUAUAGGGCUCUUUCGGGUCUUAUAAUUGGAAUGAGUACAAUUUAAAUCCCUUAACGAGGAACAAUUGGAGGGCAAGUCUGGUGCCAGCAGCCGCGGUAAUUCCAGCUCCAAUAGCGUAUAUUAAAGUUGUUGUGGUUAAAAAGCCCGUAGUUGAACCUUGGGCCUGGCUGGCCGGUCCGCCUCACCGCGUGCACUGGUCCGGCCGGGCCUUUCCCCCCGCGGAACCCCAUGCCCUUCGCUGGGCGUGGCGGGGAAACGGGACGUUUACUUUGAAAAAAUUAGAGUGCUCCAGGCAGGCCUAUGCUCGAAUACAUUAGCAUGGAAUAAUGGAAUAGGACGCGCGGUUCUAUUUUGUUGGUUUCUAGGACCGCCGUAAUGAUUGAUAGGGACAGUCGGGGGCGUCAGUAUUCAACCGUCAGAGGUGAAAUUCUUGGACCGGUUGAAGACUAACUACUGCGAAAGCAUUCGCCAAGGAUGUUUUCAUUAAUCAGGGACGAAAGCUAGGGGAUCGAAGACGAUCAGAUACCGUCGUAGUCUUAGCCAUAAACUAUGCCGACUAGGGAUCGGGCGAUGUUAUCCUU
rnacentral:rRNA from 1 species